rnacentral:rRNA from 1 species
CCUACGGGAGACAUCAGUGAGGAAUAUUGGUCAAUGGGCGGGAGCCUGAACCAGCCAAGUCGCGUGAGGGAAGACGGUCCUAUGGAUUGUAAACCUCUUUAGGCGGGGAGCAAUGCCGGGCACGCGUGCCCGGAGGGAGAGUACCCGCAGAAUAAGCAUCGGCUAACUCCGUGCCAGCAGCCGCGGUAAUACGGAGGAUGCGAGCGUUAUCCGGAUGUAUUGGGUUUAAAGGGUGCGUAGGCGGAUUUUUAAGUCAGCGGUAAAAUGUCCGGGCUCAACCCGGGCCGGCCGUUGAAACUGGGGAUCUUGAGUGGGCGAGAAGUAUGCGGAAUGCGUGGUGUAGCGGUGAAAUGCAUAGAUAUCACGCAGAACUCCGAUUGCGAAGGCAGCAUACCGGCGCCCGACUGACGCUGAGGCACGAAAGCGUGGGGAUCGAACAGGAUUAGAUACCCGGGUAGUC